GAUGAACGCUGGCGGCGUGCCUAAUACAUGCAGGUCGAGCGAACAGACGAGGAGCUUGCUCCUCUGACGUUAGCGGCGGACGGGUGAGUAACACGUGGAUAACCUACCUAUAAGACUGGGAUAACUUCGGGAAACCGGAGCUAAUACCGGAUAAUAUAUUGAACCGCAUGGUUCAAUAGUGAAAGACGGUUUUGCUGUCACUUAUAGAUGGAUCCGCGCCGCAUUAGCUAGUUGGUAAGGUAACGGCUUACCAAGGCAACGAUGCGUAGCCGACCUGAGAGGGUGAUCGGCCACACUGGAACUGAGACACGGUCCAGACUCCUACGGGAGGCAGCAGUAGGGAAUCUUCCGCAAUGGGCGAAAGCCUGACGGAGCAACGCCGCGUGAGUGAUGAAGGUCUUCGGAUCGUAAAACUCUGUUAUUAGGGAAGAACAAAUGUGUAAGUAACUAUGCACGUCUUGACGGUACCUAAUCAGAAAGCCACGGCUAACUACGCG
rnacentral:rRNA from 1 species